CCAGUAGGUGGCGCUGUGUAUGGAGAGAAACAGGGAUAGGAAGCUACAUCUUAUCCCUGUUUCUCUCUCCUGAUUGAAUCCACAGGGGAGCAGCACAUCAACUCCCAGAUUGCAGAGACAGCCUAAAGAUCAGGUAUGGGGGUGGGGCAGCCUACAGAUCAGGUAUGCGGUGGGGGCGCCAGCCCUGAGAUUAGGUAGGUGAGACAUGGUGGGGGGAGGGGAGCAGCCUAC